UUGAUUAUUUAAUAUUUACUCAGACAUCACUAAUAAAUAGGAUUUGAUUAAACCUCUGGCGGGCGCGAACCGCCCCCAAGCAAUAAAGCCUGGGGCCGGCAUGAGCCGUAUAGCCUACUCAAGGCCCGCCAAAGCAACAAAGGUAUGGUAAACAUGGGGUUGAGAAACACGACGACCGCCGUUGAGUCCCGGGGGACUCAACGACACUCGCCGCUGGGGGCUAGGCCCCCGAACUCAUUAAUGAUCCUUCCGCAGGUUCACCUACGGAAA
rnacentral:misc_RNA from 1 species